AACCCGUGGGCCACCUCAGCCACAGAGCCAUCUCCCCCAACACAUACCACACUAGAGAGAAAGCAAACGGAUGGGCGGUGUCAGGGACUGUGCCUUAUCUUCAUCUGUAGAGGUUAAAGCUUCAACGGAGAGGCCUCACCAAACACACAGUGUGCCGAGACAAUGCGGAGCUUUAUGGGAAUGACGGAUGGGGAGAAAGAAAGUCAUAAUGGUUUGGA